rnacentral:tRNA from 1 species
CGGGUUUUAGCUCAGAUCGGUAGAGCACUCGGCUGUAGAUAAAUUCACGGACUGAGGAAACUAUGAUGUUCCGUUAGCAUAAACCGAGAUGUCCGGGGUUCAAAUCCCCGAAACCCGA